AGAUGUCAUGCAUGACUGCAUCAGUUUUGGGUUUGAAUUGCUAGAUUUAAAUUUAUAUUAUGUAUACAAAAUCAUGCGUGUGUUAGGGUGUGUAUAAAAUUCGAACAAAAAAGCACAAGGUCAAGGUGUUUGUUUGGCCAUAUGCCCAUCAUGUAAUAUGAAUAUUGAACACCGUUUUAUAUAGUACGUUUAAAACGUUAUUUCCAUGCCGGAUAAUCCCGAAUCCUUCUCUGAUUACAUGUGUGGCAAAUGACGAAAAAUAAUUAUGUAAAAUAAUUAACUAAUAUGUCUUCGGCCAUGAAUGCAACUCACUAGCUAUGCUGCUUACAUCUGACAAUCAAAACUAUAUGCAUGACUGUAUGGCCCAAUGUAUGUUUGAGGGAAAUUUUUGUUUUCAGAUUACAGUAUAACAACAAUAUUUCCUGCAUUCCAAUAUAUUUUCUACAUGCAAGUGCACCUGGGUUAAAAUUCUGAUUUAUCAAUAUAUUGCUAUACAUAUGCACAUUAAAAAUAUGAGUUUUCCAGUUCAAUAUAUCUAUAACAGGAGGCUUAAACCAGAAUUUCAGAAUACAAAAGCAACUUUUAUGUCAUUUUUGUAAUGGUUUGUUUAAAAUUCAUUUUUAUACAGACGUGGUAGGGUGUCGCCUGGCUAGAAGCCUGCAUAUACAUAUACAAAUUUUCAGUUUUGUCAAUAAUAAUAAUUUAUUUAUAAUUCAAUUCUUACAAGGUUUGCAAUAAGACAACAGAAUAAGUAUUCUACUCUGAACUGUUGACAGGAAACAGUAAAUUCAUGAUCUCAUCCAAUAUGAUAUAAGAAUUUGAGACCUCGGGCAUACUGACUUAAGUUGGUGUGUGAAAUUCAGUGAAGUCCCCUGCAGCCAGGACAAAAUGGCAAGGUAAAUUUCUCCUGUCCUAUCAUCACUAGGUAUUCAACUGGAAUUUUCACUUGAAAUUUCCCAAACCAUUCCUUUACUGUCCUGUAAAAGCCUUUCCUAGCUGACUGCUUUAUUUCAGCAUUUAUAUACAGCAGAUAAAAGACUAAGUGACCCCCCCCCCUUGACCUCACUCAUUCCCCAACUUGGACACUGAAAGUAAGUGUCUUCCCUGUUUGCCAAGAAAUGAUAAACCAGUUGAAUAGGAGGCAAUUGUCCUUGCAUUCCCCUCUGGUAUGCCAAAGGUGCAGGAAUUCAAAUGACUGGUGCAAUUGAAUAUGCUUAUAAGCUUAUUCACUGUAUUUAAAUAAUUAAAAGCUAUUAAAAUUACUCACUAAUAAUACAACUGAAAAAUUCAGAAAUAGUAAAAUACAC